rnacentral:rRNA from 1 species
UACGGAGGAUGCGAGCGUUAUCCGGAUUUAUUGGGUUUAAAGGGUGCGUAGGCGGCUUUUUAAGUCAGCGGUGAAAUUUUGCAGCUUAACUGUAACAGUGCCGUUGAUACUGUGAGGCUAGGAUUUGGUUGCUGUGGGUGGAAUGUGUGGUGUAGCGGUGAAAUGCUUAGAGAUCACACAGAAUAUCGAUUGCGAAGGCAGCUCACAAAGCCAAGAUUGACGCUGAGGCACGAAAGUGUGGGGAUCAAACAGGA